CCUACGUGUGGCAGCAGUGAGGAAUAUUGGUCAAUGGGCGCUAGCCUGAACCAGCCAAGUAGCGUGAAGGAUGACUGCCCUAUGGGUUGUAAACUUCUUUUAUAUGGGAAUAAAGUGCAGUAUGUAUACUGCUUUGCAUGUACCCUAUGAAUAAGGAUCGGCAAACUCCGUGCCCGCAGCCGCGGUAAUACGGAGGAUGCGCGCGUUAUCCGGAUUUAUUGGGUUUAUAGGGUGCGUAGGCGGAUCGUUAAGUCAGUGGUAAAAUUGAGGGGCUCAACGCCUUCCCGCCAUUGAAACUGGCGUGCUUGAGUGGACGAGAGGUAUGCGGAAUGCGUGGUGUAGCGGUGAAAUGCAUAGAUAUCACGCAGAACCCCGAUGGCGAAGGCAGGAUGCCGGCUUCCGACUGACGCUGAAGCACGAAAGCGUGGGGAUCGAACAGGAUUAGAUACCCUUGUAGUC
rnacentral:rRNA from 1 species